CAGUAUUUGACAGAAAGUACAAUGAUCCAGCUGCUGUCUGAUCCAAGGAGAUUAACUUUCUGCUAGGAAGAGAGGAUUCAAGCCUAUUCAUCACAGUGGCUGAAGCAGUAUCUUAUUGUAAAUUGUGGAAGUGAGGAAAUCAGCUUUGAAUCAAGAGUGUCUGACUACAUUCAAAAAAGAAGGCCAUUCCAUUGAUCCAGUCUGCAUGACCGGAUUCUUUCAGAGAGUCAUUAAAAAGACAAUCUUUUAUAAAAGCUAAAAAUUUUGGAAGAUGAUAACCUAUCUACCAAGGUAAAGAUAAAACUCAGAAAGUGGUUUUCAAGCCUGAGGUGAAGAGAACAGUCUUUGAGUGGACCUACAGCAUCUCUGAGGAUAAGGCAUUAAUGGCAUCUGUGCAACAGGCAUCCACAUCACUGGAGAGGACUACUGACAUGGCAUCACCCUGGACUCCAGACAGGGGGUCAAAACCUUUCAUGCAAGAUCUCAAUGCAAAUAAUUGUUUUCUGGAAAUACAAAACAUGAACCUCCUUCAGAAAUCCCUUCCUUUCCUCUGGAUUUUCCUGUCAUUUCCUUUGUGGAAAAGGAGGCAUCUUGGUCUUCUCAAAAGAAGAGUCCAGAUACUUGGGUUCAAGUCUCAGCGUUGUCACUUAUUAGCGAUAUGAUCGUGAGCAAGUCAGUUCACUUCCCUGGGUUUCACCUUCCUUUACCUCUAUGAUGGGGGGCGGGGUUUGAACUCAGUGAUCUGUAACAUUCCAAAUCUAACAUUAUAUGAGUCUGUGUUUUCAUUCGCUGCUUUUGAGGGCAAAGAGUUAGAAUAGACAUUGCCAGGGUAAAGCAACCAAAUACUUAGGGGAGGGGAAAGGGUUAGUAUGCAUAUCUAUCUUCGAUUAUCACUCCACCCUCAGUUUUUAAGCAAGCAGUCAGAAUGUUCCCUUACUUAAACAGUAAGAAUAGGCAACAUGCAUUUAGUCAUGAAGAAAUUAGAAAUAGGAUUCUUUGUUUUCAAGAGGUUAAAAAGAGAAUGGAGAGUUGGUACAAGAGCUAAGAAUGGGUGUAUGCAUGGAAGGGGAAAGAAUGAAUUCUGUGUUGGAACUCUGUGACUGUGGGGCUGUCACCCCAACACAGAUAAAAAUCUGAGAGCCUCUGUGAAUGUGUGUGUGAUUAAGGAAGAAAAAUGUGGUUCAGAUUCACUUCUACAAUAAGAGACACUCCUAGAGAGAGAAGUGAAGGUAGCUUUAAUUAAGAUUAUAAUGUAGGUAUAGAAAAGCUAGAUUUAUAGCAAUAUACAAUUAGCAAUAUGACUAUAGUCAGGCUAAGAAUACAAAGGAUAGCAAUAAUAUAAGAAAACAUCACCAAUUCGGGGAAGCACCAACACCUGAAGGCCAAGCUGGGUGUUCCCAGGGUACAGCUCUCAGGGUCCUUAUUGGGAAGGUCCCAGGCAGAGCAUCCUCUCCAUGAGUGAGAAUCCAAAGAUGGCUUUCUCAAUUAGGAUUUAAAUAGGGCCUCUAACAAACAAGGCCCUGUGCCAGAGGUGUCUGUGAUUCUAGUAGAUGUUUUCACUUGGUCCAGGAACUGGCCAAGUUCUUGGAGCAAGCAAAACAUCUUAGAAUAUUAAUUAACUUGAUAUGUUCUGAUGAACUGGCCAGGUUCCCAGAGCACAUCUUUUCCUGAGAACUGUCUAAAUUCUCAGGUCAACAUAAAUAACCACACUGUGGCUUAUAGCCCAAUGUUUAGAGUCAUACAGGGGACGUGGAAGAUAUUUCCUUGUAAGAUUUAUCAAUCAGUGUGAAGGCAGCCAAGCCGGGGGGAUUAGAGGUGCCUCAGAGUCUGAUAAUGAGAAUCUUUUCAGUAUGCGGUGGUCUAGAGAGAUUUUCCUACUGGGAAAUGAAAUGUUCUCUCCAUCACAAUAAGUAUGAAAGUGUUGCACACAAAGUGUUAGGAGUGAGUGGAAAGACCAGCAAGUUAUAAGGUGCUAAUAAAUCUGUGUAUGAAUGGGUCUGUGAAGACUAG
rnacentral:lncRNA from 1 species